GACAGAGGUGCCGAGCGUUAGGCGGAAUCACUGGGCUUAAAGCGUGUGUAGGCGGAUUUGUAAGUACCUUGUGAAAUCCCACGGCUCAACCGUGGAAGUGCACUCGAAACUGCAGGGCUAGAGUCCUGGAGAGGAAGGUGGAAUGCUUGGUGUAGAGGUGAAAUUCGUAGAUAUCAAGCGGAACACCGGUGGCGAAGGCGGCCUCUGGACAGUGACUGACGCUGAGACGCGAAAAGCGUGGGGGAGCAAACAGGGAU
rnacentral:rRNA from 1 species